GAGUUUGAUCGUGGCUCAGGAUGAACGCUGGCGGCGUGCCUAACACAUGCAAGUCGAACGGAGUCAUUUUGGAAAGUUCUUCGGAACUGGAAUCUAUGACUUAGUGGCGGACGGGUGAGUAACGCGUGAGCAAUCUGCCUUUUAGAGGGGGAUAACAGCCGGAAACGGCUGCUAAUACCGCAUAACGCAUCGGAGUCGCAUGGUUUUGAUGCCAAAGAUUUUAUCGCUGAAAGAUGAGCUCGCGUCUGAUUAGCUAGUUGGCGGGGUAACGGCCCACCAAGGCGACGAUCAGUAGCCGGACUGAGAGGUUGAACGGCCACAUUGGGACUGAGACACGGCCCAGACUCCUACGGGAGGCAGCAGUGGGGAAUAUUGCGCAAUGGGGGCAACCCUGACGCAGCAACGCCGCGUGAUUGAAGAAGGUCUUCGGAUUGUAAAAUCUUUAAUCAGGGACGAAGAAAUGACGUACCUGAAGAAUAAGCUCCGGCUAACUACGUGCCAGCAGCCGCCGUAACACC
rnacentral:rRNA from 1 species